CGAAUCCACUUAUAAACGAACAAAGUGUCUUUAUCCACUGCAGGAAGAAUCUCAACUUACCAAGAUUACUCGUGACAGUGCAAAGAUAACAGUGGAGCAAGUCCAUGGAUUAAUGUCACAGGUCAUCAAGGACAUUCUUUUCAAUUCCGUUCGGCAAUCCAACAAAUCUCAGGCAGAGUCAUCUAGUCCUGAACCAAUGGUCGAAACAUGAGCUGAUGCCAAUCGAAACCACUCAUUUUUCUGGCGUGGCUCUUGCUCAUUUAUGUCCCGAAGAAAAUUGAUUUACGGGUUUCCUUUUGUAUUAGCAUCUUCAAAUGUAUUGCAAUUACUAGACUUAGUUGAAAAAGAUGGCUCCCAUCAUUGCACUUUUGAAACGAGCGAUGUUUUUGGCUCUAUUCUUAGACUCGAAUGGGUUCAUCUAUAUCCUUCAAAGAAAGAUCAUAUGCGUUUUAGUAGUAAUUUAUUUUUGUAGAGAGGACUCUUGUGAGACUAUUACGAUUUCCAAAAGCCCCUUUUAAUUUAUUGUUUUUAUUUUUGA